rnacentral:snoRNA from 1 species
UGGAGGUCUGAGAAGGUGAGGUAGCUCUGUACUGUGCUGCAGUCCACUGGUUAAGACCUCCAACAGCGAAGGCUGCUCAGACAGAGGAUGUCCCUCUGCCACCCUUGGAGGGGAAGUGCUGUGCUGGCCAACAUUUU